AGACUCCAGAAUGGUCAGGCCCCAGAGGGGCCUCCCGGGUCUCUCAGCGUGCACACGCCCGGUCUGACUUCACCCUUGAGACUGAGAACUCAAACCCAGGCCUGCAGAAGGGGCUUGUUCUCUUAAGAAGAGUCGGGCUUGAAUUCAGGUGUUAACUGUCUGGCCUAUGACGAAGCCAUCAUGGCUCAGCAGGACCGCAUCCAGCAAGAGAUUGCUGUGCAAAACCCUCUGGUCUCAGAGCGACUGGAGCUCUCGGUCCUGUACAAGGAGUAUGCUGAGGAUGACAACA
rnacentral:lncRNA from 1 species